GGAGGCUAUACUCAGCAGUAGAGCACAUGCUUAGCAUACACGAGGGCCUGGGUUCAAUCCCCAGUGCCUCCU
rnacentral:tRNA from 1 species